rnacentral:rRNA from 1 species
CCUACGUGAGGCAGCAGUGGGGAAUAUUGCACAAUGGGGGGAACCCUGAUGCAGCGACGCCGCGUGGGUGAAGGAGUGCUUCGGCAUGUAAAGCCCUAUCGGCAGGGAAGAAGCAAGACGGUACCUGACUAAGAAGCCCCGGCUAACUACGUCCCAGCCGCCGCGGUAAUACGUAGGGGGCCAGCGUUAUCCGGAUUCACCGGGUGGAAAGGGAGCGUAGACGGCCAUGCAAGCCAGGGGUGAAAGCCCGGGGCCCAACCCCCGGACUGCCCUUGGAACUGCAGGGCUUGAGUGCGGGAGGGGCAGGCGGAAUUCCUGGUGUAGCGGUGAAAUGCGUAGAUAUCAGGAGGAACACCGGCGGCGAAGGCGGCCUGCUGGACCGCGACUGACGUUGAGGCUCGAAAGCGUGGGGAGCGAACAGGAUUAGAUACCCUAGUAGUC